rnacentral:tRNA from 1 species
GGGCACUUAGUUCAGUGGUAGAACGUUCGUUUCACAUGCGAAAGAUCGCAGGUUCAAUCCCUGCAGUGCCCA